rnacentral:rRNA from 1 species
AGCGAACGCUGGCGGCAGGCUUAACACAUGCAAGUCGAGCGGGCAUAGCAAUAUGUCAGCGGCAGACGGGUGCGUAACGCGUGGGAACGUACCUUUUGGUUCGGAACAACUGAGGGAAACUUCAGCUAAUACCGGAUAAGCCCUUACGGGGAAAGAUUUAUCGCCGAAAGAUCGGCCCGCGUCUGAUUAGCUAGUUGGUGAGGUAAUGGCUCACCAAGGCGACGAUCAGUAGCUGGUCUGAGAGGAUGAUCAGCCACAUUGGGACUGAGACACGGCCCAAACUCCUACGGGAGGCAGCAGUGGGGAAUAUUGGACAAUGGGCGCAAGCCUGAUCCAGCCAUGCCGCGUGAGUGAUGAAGGCCCUAGGGUUGUAAAGCUCUUUUGUGCGGGAAGAUAAUGACGGUACCGCAAGAAUAAGCCCCGGCUAACUUCGUG